rnacentral:rRNA from 1 species
UACGAAGGGGGCUAGCGUUGCUCAGAAUCACUGGGCGUAAAGGGUGCGUAGGCGGGAUCUUAAGUCAGAGGUGAAAGCCUGGAGCUCAACUCCAGAACUGCCUUUGAUACUGGGAUUCUUGAGUUCGGGAGAGGUGAGCGGAACUGCGAGUGUAGAGGUGAAAUUCGUAGAUAUUCGCAAGAACACCAGUGGCGAAGGCGGCUCACUGGCCCGAUACUGACGCUGAGGCACGAAAGCGUGGGUAGCAAACAGG